rnacentral:tRNA from 1 species
GGGAAUAGCUCAGUGGUAGAGCACUUGCCUACUAUGCAUGAAGCCCUGGGUUCAAUUCCCAUCCCA